UUGAACGCUGGCGGCAGGCCUAACACAUGCAAGUCGAGCGGUAGCACAGAGAGCUUGCUCUCGGGUGACGAGCGGCGGACGGGUGAGUAAUGUCUGGGAAACUGCCUGAUGGAGGGGGAUAACUACUGGAAACGGUAGCUAAUACCGCAUAACGUCGCAAGACCAAAGUGGGGGACCUUCGGGCCUCAUGCCAUCAGAUGUGCCCAGAUGGGAUUAGCUAGUAGGUGGGGUAACGGCUCACCUAGGCGACGAUCCCUAGCUGGUCUGAGAGGAUGACCAGCCACACUGGAACUGAGACACGGUCCAGACUCCUACGGGAGGCAGCAGUGGGGAAUAUUGCACAAUGGGCGCAAGCCUGAUGCAGCCAUGCCGCGUGUGUGAAGAAGGCCUUCGGGUUGUAAAGCACUUUCAGCGGGGAGGAAGGCGAUAAGGUUAAUAACCUUGUCGAUUGACGUUACCCGCAGAAGAAGCACCGGCUAACUCCGUGCCAGCAGCCGCGGUAAUACGGAGGGUGCAAGCGUUAAUCGGAAUUACUGGGCGUAAAGCGCACGCAGGCGGUCUGUCAAGUCGGAUGUGAAAUCCCCGGGCUCAACCUGGGAACUGCAUUCGAAACUGGCAGGCUAGAGUCUUGUAGAGGGGGGUAGAAUUCCAGGUGUAGCGGUGAAAUGCGUAGAGAUCUGGAGGAAUACCGGUGGCGAAGGCGGCCCCCUGGACAAAGACUGACGCUCAGGUGCGAAAGCGUGGGGAGCAAACAGGAUUAGAUACCCUGGUAGUCCACGCCGUAAACGAUGUCGAUUUGGAGGUUGUGCCCUUGAGGCGUGGCUUCCGGAGCUAACGCGUUAAAUCGACCGCCUGGGGAGUACGGCCGCAAGGUUAAAACUCAAAUGAAUUGACGGGGGCCCGCACAAGCGGUGGAGCAUGUGGUUUAAUUCGAUGCAACGCGAAGAACCUUACCUGGUCUUGACAUCCACGGAAGUUUUCAGAGAUGAGAAUGUGCCUUCGGGAACCGUGAGACAGGUGCUGCAUGGCUGUCGUCAGCUCGUGUUGUGAAAUGUUGGGUUAAGUCCCGCAACGAGCGCAACCCUUAUCCUUUGUUGCCAGCGGUUAGGCCGGGAACUCAAAGGAGACUGCCAGUGAUAAACUGGAGGAAGGUGGGGAUGACGUCAAGUCAUCAUGGCCCUUACGACCAGGGCUACACACGUGCUACAAUGGCAUAUACAAAGAGAAGCGACCUCGCGAGAGCAAGCGGACCUCAUAAAGUAUGUCGUAGUCCGGAUUGGAGUCUGCAACUCGACUCCAUGAAGUCGGAAUCGCUAGUAAUCGUAGAUCAGAAUGCUACGGUGAAUACGUUCCCGGGCCUUGUACACACCGCCCGUCACACCAUGGGAGUGGGUUGCAAAAGAAGUAGGUAGCUUAACCUUCGGGAGGGCGCUUACCACUUUGUGAUUCAUGACUGGGGUG
rnacentral:rRNA from 1 species